rnacentral:rRNA from 1 species
AGGGCACCACCAGGAGUGGAGCCUGCGGCUUAAUUUGACUCAACACGGGGAAACUUACCCGGCCUGGACACUGGAAGGAUUGACAGAUUGAGAGCUCUUUCUUGAUUCAGUGGGUGGUGGUGCAUGGCCGUUCUUAGUUGGUGGAGCGAUUUGUCUGGUUAAUUCCGAUAACGAACGAGACUCUAGCCUAUUAAAUAGGCUCUCGGCUUUUAAACGCCGGGAGGACUUCUUAGAGGGACAGGUGGCGGUUCAGCCGCACGAAAGAGAGCAAUAACAGGUCUGUGAUGCCCUUUGUUGUCCGGGGCCGCACGCGCGCUACACUGAAGAGAUCAGCGUGCUUUACGUUCCUGCUCCGACCGGAGUGGGGAACCCAGUGAACCUUCUUCGUGAUUGGGAUAGAAGAUUGUAAUUAUUCUUCUUGAACGAGGAAUUCCCAGUAAAUGCGAGUCAUAAGCUCGCGUUGAUUACGUCCCUGCCCUUUGUACACACCGCCCGCCGCUACUACCGAUUGAACGAUUU